AAUAAGAGACAAUGAACAAAUCAGAACCACGAAUCAAAUGAAACAAAUACAACUAAGACAACACAUACCGAAUCAGAUUCAAGAGAACUCAAAACAGAUUGACUCAACAAUAGACAACUCAAAACAGAGACGCAAAACUUACUCUUGACGCGUGGACGCAACCUUGCUCUGACUACCACUUGAUGGAAGAAUGCUCUGAGAGGAUAACCGUAUGUGCGACGAGAGCUCCUCGAGGCUUCUUAUAGAGAGAAAUGACGCAGUGGAAAUGUUGAAUAAUCGUUUGCCUGAGAGAAAUUGGAAGAGAACAGAGCAAAUCUAAGAAGAAUCUCAGAGAACCAAGACUUAGACCAACGGAACCCUAGAAAAGGGAAGAAUCGCAAAUUGAACCGAUUAAUCAGUGGAAAUGGUGUUUUAAUUGGUGGAAGCAAAGGAUAAUCAGAGGAAAAUGGUUUUAAUCGGUGGAAAUUUAGGAAAUGGUUAAAUAAUGAGAAGAAACCCUAGACUGGUGAAAGUAAUCGGUGAAAGUGGAAGGAAAGUGACCGAAGAUAAUGAAACUGUAAAGAAAUGGAUAGAUCUGUGGAGAAAAUGGUGACCUACGGUGAAGAACUGAGGAUGGCGACGAUGAACUCGAGAGAGAAAAUGAAGCUCUCGAGAAAUGAUGCUGGAGAAAGGAAAUGGCCUUUGGAAUGUGUGAAAUUGAAAGUUGAAAGUGAGGCGCGGACGAAGCCAAGGCGCUGACGCGUGCAAGAGAAGCUGAAGAUGUGGCAGAUGUUUAAUGGUGCAGCGUGUAUGAGAGAGAAAGCACCAUGGAAAUGGAAAAUGAGAGUGAGAGAGGUGCUUGGAAGGUGGCUAGAGGAGGUUUCAUGGACUCUCUAGCCUUGUGACUUUCAAGAGAGAAUAUUUUCCUGAUUUAGAAAAUUCUAUUCUCAUUAUUCUCAAAAGUGGAAAAUACAAUGAGGAGCUGGGUAUUUAUAGUGACCCAUGCUCCUUGCAAGCUACACUACAGAUACAAUAAAAUGUAAAAUUAAGAAAAAGAGGACUACGUCAGGGAGGAUUCCAUCAAUUGGGGUUAUAGCUGAUCAAAUGCCCUCUCACAUAACUCAUGUAUCUCCCAGCUGAUAUUUCUCCCCUGGGCAAGGCAUUGGCAUAGAACUCCUUCACCAACUCAAUACUAGCUGGUGCUGGAUAUGUAGUUAGUCUAUCCCAACCUCGCCUCUCAAUCUCCAGACGAAAUUCUGGAGCUAAGUCAGGGAUGUACAUGGCCUUCCUCUCCAUCAGCAACCGCCUUUCCUGGACAGUAGCAUAAUGCUCUUCAUGCUUCCUUGAGAGGAACCUGGAAGAAUAAAAUCUCCUAGGUCUCUCCGGUUCCUUCCUUUUGUUGCCCAUAGUUUUAACUCUUCUCGAGGUAGACAUUCCUGUAUCAAAUAAAUCCAACAAUAUUCAUAGAAACAUCAUUAGAGGUUAGUAUAUCAUCAAUUUUAUAACUCAAAUAACACAUAAUCUAGUUUUUGAGGGAAAACAAGGCCCCUCGGCAUCCAAACAUCCAAAAAUUUCAAUCAUUUAGGCAAAUCUGCUGCAGACCGCUCAACGUUCAUGAAGACCGCCCAGGCGGUUUGCCUCCAGCCACGCCACCGCUUAGCGCCCGCUUAGUGCCAAAACAGACCGCCCAACGGUGGCGACUAGGUUUUUUUCAAAAACCCUUCCUAAACUGUCCUAAUCUCCACUCUUUUGCUAAUUUCAUCUAUCCAUACCAAAAUCAUGUUAUUCAAUUGGUUCAAACAAUUCCUAUUUCAUCAAUUCAUGCAUAGAAAUCAAAAGCCUUAAUUUAUCAUGUUCCUAAGCAUGUUCAUCAAGAAAUCCCAAAAUAGAAACCCUAAACAUGAAUUUGCAUACUUACUUGAGUGGAAACUUUGAAUGCUUGCAGAAAAAUUGUUCAACUGAUGAUGAAUGUCCUCUCCAAUGCAAAACCCUCAACCAAAAACCCCAAACUUUGACUCAACAAUGGUAGAAAAUUGAAUCUUUGGUGAGUGGGUGAUGAGAAAGUGAGGAAAUCUCUCUAAAAAGCUCUUGAAAGUGAAAGGAGAGCGCGAGGGCUUAGGGAGACCGCUCAGGUGAAAUGCAAAGAAGAGUUUCAAAGUGAAGAACUUCAAAAACCGCUAAGCUUUUGAAGAAAGUCGAGACUCAUCACACCGCAACCGCUCAGCGAUAAAAUGGACUGCUCAGCGGUCUGUGGUAUUUUUCACUUCUUCUUCUUUGUUUGCUUUUGAACAAUCUUACCUUGUAGCACUCAGUUUCAACCCUUAGUUUUUCAAUUAUAUGCUUUUCCCCUCUCAGAUGCAACAUUUAACAUGCAAUGCACUUAUCACAAGAUUUAAAAACAAUAUAAUCAAUUAGGUUUCCUCCCAGGUAGCGCUUGUUUAACGUCACGAGCUUGACCCAAACCUGCCUGGCACUCAUCAGUAAGUGCUUAUCCUUCCACAGCCUUCAG
rnacentral:lncRNA from 1 species